UUGCACUGGGAAAAAGGACUGGAGUAGAGUCCCACCAGGGGCUGGCUAACUUUUGACUUUGCCAAGAAGCUCACUGACACAUAUUUUCCUUCGAGCAAUAGAAGCCUUUGCAAUAUGGAAAAAGUGACAUGUGAUCCGAAGGCGUCUGGAGGGGAGCUCUGAGUGCGGGGAACUGACCUUUGCAACCACCUACCCAGAGCCGAGACUGGCGAAGGGCAAGCGGAGCCUCCAGGAAUGAUGUCUGGUGCCCUCCACAGCUGCCUUACCAAGUCCUGUGUGCUGGCACCACCACCUUGGAGGAGGAAAGCCCUCCCCCAUUUUCCUGCCCUGCUCCCACUUUUCCUCAGAACCUCAGAGGGAGGCCUAUGGAAGAAA